rnacentral:lncRNA from 1 species
UCUGAUUGCUGGAAACUAAAAACAAGGUACUUCUCAGCAAAAUUUGGCUCUACAAAAAAUUUGUGUCCACGGAAACAAUUUUCUUAACUUAUGCUAAUUUACAACUGCAAUAUUCAGCCAUGUCCUUCCUUUACUAGGACACCUUUCUGGCAUGAAGUGGAUGGUGAUGGGAUUUCAGCUGUCGAUGACAAGCAAGAAACAAAGGUUAAGAAAAUACCUAUAACCUCAUGACUUCCUGAGAAAACAAGGUGCACAUGAUGACGGCUUACAAAAACAAUCUGCUGUCCUAGUAAAAACCUAAUGCAAUCCAUCCUACAUUCCUUGUGUUAUCAAAUAUAAAAUCUGAAGUAAAUCAAGCAUUUUUCUGGCCAGUGCCCUUUUCCCUGCCUAAACCCCUACGUAAUGUGUUGG